GAUGAACGCUGACAGAAUGCUUAACGCAUGCAAGUCAACUUGAAUUUGGGUUUUUAACUUAGGUUUGGGUGGCGGACGGGUGAGUAACGCGUAAAGAACUUGCCUCACAGCUAGGGACAACAUUUGGAAACGAAUGCUAAUACCUAAUAUUAUGAUAAUAGGGCAUCCUAUAAUUAUGAAAGCUAUAAGCGCUGUGAGAGAGCUUUGCGUCCCAUUAGCUAGUUGGAGAGGUAACGGCUCACCAAGGCGAUGAUGGGUAGCCGGCCUGAGAGGGUGAUCGGCCACAAGGGGACUGAGACACGGCCCGUACUCCUACGGGAGGCAGCAGUGGGGAAUAUUGGACAAUGGACCGAGAGUCUGAUCCAGCAAUUGUGUGUGCACGAUGAAGUUUUUCGGAAUGUAAAGUGCUUUCAGUUGGGAAGAAACAAAUGACGGUACCAACAGAAGAAGUGACGGCUAAAUACGUG
rnacentral:rRNA from 1 species